rnacentral:rRNA from 1 species
GUAGGUGGCAAGCGUUGUCCGGAACUAUUGGGCGUAAAGCGCGCGCAGGCGGUUCUUUAAGUCUGAUGUGAAAGCCCACGGCUCAACCGUGAGGGUCAUUGGAAACUGGAGAACUUGAGUACAGAAGAGGAAAGCGGAAUUCCACGUGUAGCGGUGAAAUGCGUAGAGAUGUGGAGGAACACCAGUGGCGAAGGCGGCUUUCUGGUCUGUAACUGACGCUGAGGCGCGAAAGCGUGGGGAGCAAACAGGAUUAGAUACCCUGGUAGUCCACGCCGUAAACGAUGAGUGCUAAGUGUUAGGGGGGUUUCCGCCCCCCUUAGUGCUGCAGCUAACGCAUUAAGCACUCCGCCUGGGAGUACGGCCGCAAGGCUG